rnacentral:rRNA from 1 species
GGACGAACGCUGGCGGCGUGCUUAACACAUGCAAGUCGAGCGGUAAGGCCCUUUCGGGGGUACACGAGCGGCGAACGGGUGAGUAACACGUGGGUGACCUGCCCUCAGCUCUGGGAUAAGCCUGGGAAACCGGGUCUAAUACUGGAUAUGACUCCAUGACGCAUGUUGUGGGGUGGAAAGCCUUGUGCGGCUGAGGAUGGGCCCGCGGCCUAUCAGCUUGUUGGUGGGGUGAGGCCUACCAAGGCGACGACGGGUAGCCGGCCUGAGAGGGCGACCGGCCACACUGGGACUGAGACACGGCCCAGACUCCUACGGGAGGCAGCAGUGGGGAAUCUUGCGCAAUGGGCGAAAGCCUGACGCAGCGACGCCGCGUGAGGGAUGACGGCC